rnacentral:rRNA from 1 species
ACCAGCCUGUAAUACUGGGAUAACAUAAGGAAACUUAUGCUAAUACCGGAGAGAGUUUUGCUUCGCACGAUGCGAACCGGAAGGAUCGCACAUGCUAUCAGUUGCAGAUAGGCCUGCGGCGCAGUACCUAGUUGGUGAGGUAAAGGCUCACCAAGGCGACUAUCCGUAGCCAACCUGAGAGGGUGACCGGCCACACUGGGACUGAAACACGGCCCAGACUCCUACGGGAGGCAGCAACGGGGAAUUUUCCACAAUGGACCAACGUCUGAUGGAGCAACGCCGCGGGAACAAUGAAGGCUUUCGGGUCGUAGAUUUCUGUUGUUAGGGAAGAAACAUUGCGAUUUAAAUAAUGUGGCACCUUGACGGUACCUAACGAGAAAGCCACGGCAAACUACCUGCCAGCACCCGCGGUAAUACGUAGGUGGCAUACGUUGUCCGGAAUUAUUGGGCGUAAAGCGCGCGCAUGUAGCUAUCUAAGUCUGAUUUUAAAGCCCGAGGGCUCAACCUCGGUGCUCAUUGGAAACUGGGUAUUCUUGAGUGCAGGACUUGAAAGUGGUAUUACCAAGUGUAGCGGUCAUGUGCGUACGAGAUAUGGGAGGAACACCUGUGGCGGAACGCCACUUUCUGGACCGGUAACUUGACACUGAGGCGCUGACGCUGUGGGGAGCAAACCGGGAUGUAGAUACACCUGGAUAGUCCACCCCGUAAACCAUACAGCGC